rnacentral:rRNA from 1 species
UACGAGGGGGGCGAGCGUUGUUCGGAGUUACUGGGCGUAAAGGGCGCGUAGGCGGCAAUUCAAGUCAUCUGUGAAAUCUCCGGGCUUAACUCGGAACGGUCAGGUGAUACUGCUUUGCUAGAGUGCAGAAGGGGCAAUCGGAAUUCUUGGUGUAGCGGUGAAAUGCGUAGAUAUCAAGAGGAACACCUGAGGUGAAGACGGGUUGCUGGGCUGACACUGACGCUGAGGCGCGAAAGCUAGGGGAGCAAACGGG